GGGUCACAGUCAUUCUGAUGAGUCAGACAGCAGAUGGAGGGAAGAGAAACUAUCUCAAGAGAAGUGCUGACACCUGAGCUGCUGUGGGCAUUGUCUGUGGAUAGAGGACAACAUUUCAUCAGGUGCUCCAGUACCUGCAGAGUAACAACUCCCCCUGUAGGAUUAAGCCAGGAAAAUCUUUGAGCUAUCUGCAAUUACUGGCUGCAGUUCAUCGAGGCUUCACUGAGGCUUUUGAGGUAAGUAAAAUGCUGCCGUGCAUGUUUUCCGUGGAUUAGUAUUCAAUUUUCUUUCAUUUGUCACGAAUUAAGUCAUCAUGACGGUAUUUUAAGGGUUAUUCAUUAAUAAACAUUCCAAUAUUACAGCUUAUUUGUGACAUGACAUUCAAAUAAUUUCAAGGUUUUCCUAUCCACUUGAAAUCCUGCAUUUCUAAUCAAGUCAAAAUUCGACAUGAGCAUAAUUUUUCUUCUCUCUGCUUCAUUCAUACGUUUUAUUUUUUCUUUGUUUUUGUUUGUUUGUUUUUAUUUAUGCAAGCUGUCUGAUACUUAUGUGGGUCAUCAAAUGUGAAAGAUCUAUGUCAACUCAAAACAUAAUGACAUGUAGAUGAGAUGUUAUUGAUCCCACGCUGGGGAAAUGUACUGGUUACAUCAGCUCAAAGCAAGAAAAAUCGAAAAAGAAUAAAAAAAAAACUGGUAUCAUGUGUGUCUGUGUGUGUAC